AAAUAGGGACUUGUAUGAAUGGCCACACGAGGGCUUUACUGUCUCUUACUUCCAAUCCGUGAAAUUGACCUUCCCGUGAAGAGGCGGGAAUAUGACAAUAAGACGAGAAGACCCUAUGGAGCUUUAAUUAACCGACCCAAAGAGACCUUGAUAAUCAACCGACAGGGAUAACAAACCUCUACCAUGGGUCGACAAUUUAGGUUGGGGUGACCUCGGAGAAUAAAACAACCUCCGAGUGAUUUAAAUCUAGACUAACCAGUCGAAAGUAUUACAUCACUUAUUGAUCCAAAAACUUGAUCAACGGAACAAGUUACCCUAGGGAUAACAGCGCAAUCCUAUUUCAGAGUCCAUAUCGACAAUAG
rnacentral:rRNA from 1 species